rnacentral:rRNA from 1 species
CGGGGGGGCGUGCUUUAACACAUGCAAGUCGAACGGUGAAGCAGAGCUUGCUCUGUGGAUCAGUGGCGAACGGGUGAGUAACACGUGAGCAACCUGCCCCUGACUCUGGGAUAAGCGCUGGAAACGGCGUCUAAUACCGGAUAUGAGCUGCGAUCGCAUGGUCAGCAGUUGGAAAGAUUUUUCGGUCUGGGAUGGGCUCACGGCCUAUCAGCUUGUUGGUGAGGUAAUGGCUCACCAAGGCGUCGACGGGUAGCCGGCCUGAGAGGGUGACCGGCCACACUGGGACUGAGACACGGCCCAGACUCCUACGGGAGGCAGCAGUGGGGAAUAUUGCACAAUGGGCGAAAGCCUGAUGCAGCAACGCCGCGUGAGGGAUGACGGCCUUCGGGUUGUAAACCUCUUUUAGCAGGGAAGAAGCGAAAGUGACGGUACCUGCAGAAAAAGCGCCGGCUAACUACGUGCCAGCAGCCGCGGUAAUACGUAGGGCGCAAGCGUUAUCCGGAAUUAUUGGGCGUAAAGAGCUCGUAGGCGGUUUGUCGCGUCUGCUGUGAAAUCCCGAGGCUCAACCUCGGGUCUGCAGUGGGUACGGGCAGACUAGAGUGCGGUAGGGGAGAUUGGAAUUCCUGGUGUAGCGGUGGAAUGCGCAGAUAUCAGGAGGAACACCGAUGGCGAAGGCAGAUCUCUGGGCCGUUACUGACGCUGAGGAGCGAAAGGGUGGGGAGCAAACAGGCUUAGAUACCCUGGUAGUCCACCCCGUAAACGUUGGGAACUAGUUGUGGGGUCCAUUCCACGGAUUCCGUGACGCAGCUAACGCAUUAAGUUCCCCGCCUGGGGAGUACGGCCGCAAGGCUAAAACUCAAAGGAAUUGACGGGGACCCCGCACAAGCGGCGUAGCAUGCGGAUUAAUUCGAUGCCAACGCGAAGAACCUUACCAAGGCUUGACAUAUACGAGAACGGGCCAGAAAUUGUUCCACUCUUUGGACACUCGUAACCAGGUUGG